rnacentral:rRNA from 1 species
UACGUAGGGCUCGAGCGUUGUCCGGAUUUAUUGGGCGUAAAGAGCUCGUAGGCGGCUUGGCGCGUCGAAUGUGAAAACUCGGGGCUCAACCCCGCGCUUGCAUUCGAUACGGGCAGGCUCGAGUUCGGUAGGGGAGACUGGAAUUCCUGGUGUAGCGGUGAAAUGCGCAGAUAUCAGGAGGAACACCAGUGGCGAAGGCGGGUCUCUGGGCAGAUACUGACGCUGAGGAGCGAAAGCGUGGGGAGCGAACAGG